UACGUAGGGGGCAAGCGUUGUCCGGAUUUAUUGGGCGUAAAGAGCGUGUAGGCGGCCUGGAAGGUCAGCUGUGAAACUCGAGGCUCAACCUCGAGACGUCGGUUGAAACCACCUGGCUAGAGUCCGGAAGAGGAGAGUGGAAUUCCCGGUGUAGCGGUGAAAUGCGCAGAUAUCGGGAAGAACACCGGUGGCGAAGGCGGGUCUCUGGGCCGAUACUGGACGCUGAGGAGCGAAAGCGUGGGGAGCGAACAGG
rnacentral:rRNA from 1 species